UGAGUGCGAGCGGCUACGGCCGCGAAGUGGGUGAUGUCAAGCUUCCAAGAAAAGCCCUAUACCCGUUAAGGCAUGAUGGCCUGUACCCGAAACCGACACAGGUGGGGUGGUAGAGAAUACCGAGGGGCGCGAGGUAACUCUCUCUAAGGAACUCGGCAAAAUGGCCCCGUAACUCCGGGAGAAGGGGUGCCACCGCAAGGUGGUCGCAGUGAAGAGGCCCAGGCGACUGUUUACCAAAAACACAGGUCUCCGCUAAGUCGCAAGACGAUGUAUGGGGGCUGACGCCUGCCCAGUGCCGGAAGGUUAAGGAAGCUGGUCAGCGCAAGCGAAGCUGGCGACUGAAGCCCCGGUGAACGGCGGCCGUAACUAUAACGGUCCUAAGGUAGCGAAAUUCCUUGUCGGGUAAGUUCCGACCCGCACGAAAGGCGUAACGAUCUGGGCGCUGUCUCGGAGAGAGGCUCGGCGAAAUAGAAUUGUCUGUGAAGAUGCGGACUACGUGCACCCGGACAGAAAGACCCUAUGAAGCUCUACUGUAGCUUGGUAUUGUGCCCGGGCUCUGAAUGCGCAGGAUAGGUGGGAGGCUUUGAUCCAUGGCUUGCGGGUCAUGGUGAGCCAACGGUGAGAUACCACUCUUUCAGAGCUAGGGUUCUAACGGUCACCCGUCAUCCGGGGACCGGACAGUAUCAGGUGGGCAGUUUGACUGGGGCGGUCGCCUCCUAAAAGGUAACGGAGGCGCGCAAAGGUUUGCUCAGGCUGGUUGGAAAUCAGCCGACGAGUGCAAAAGCAGAAGCAAGCUUGACUGUGAGACCUACAAGUCGAACAGGGACGAAAGUCGGCUUUAGUGAUCCGACGGUUCUGAGUGGAAGGGCCGUCGCUCAACGGAUAAAAGUUACUCUAGGAUAACAGGCUGAUCUCCCCCAAGAGUUCACAUCGACGGGGAGGUUUGGCACCUCGAUGUCGGCUCAUCGCAACCUGGGCUGAAGUCGGUCCCAAGGGUUGGGCUGUUCGCCCAUUAAAGCGGUACGCGAGCUGGGUUCAGAACGUCGUGAGACAGUUCGGUCCAUAUCCGGUGCACGCGCAGGAACAUUGAGAGGAUUUCUCCCUAGUACGAGAGGACCGGGAGGAACGCACCUCUGGUGUGCCAGUUAUCGUGCCAACGGUAAACGCUGGGUAGCCAUGUGCGGAGUGGAUAACCGCUGAAAGCAUCUAAGUGGGAAGCCCACCUCAAGAUGAGUGUUCCCAUGGCAUAAGCCAGUAAGGUCACGGGAAGAACACCCGUUGAUAGGCUCUACGUGGAAGCCGGGUAACCGGUGAAGCGGAGGAGUACUAAUAGACCGAGGGCUUGACC
rnacentral:rRNA from 1 species